CCAUACGCAUGUACAGUACACCCAUCAUUUUUCUCUAUUUGAAGGAUGCGUGCGGCACACCCUUCAGAUUAGUGGCCCAGCUGAUCACAUGACCCCUUUGUUAAAAUUCUAUACUUUAGGCCUGCUAGCAUGCUCGCAGCUAAUCUCACCUCACCUCAUUGGUAUAGAAAUCUGAUGGAUAUAGAUUUCUGAUAGAACACUGGCGAAUGUAGACUACUUCUGGACAAUCACAACCAAAUUCACCAGAAACUAAAAACAAAAAUAUUGGUAUCCG